CCCUAAGCCUCUAAGUACUAAUUAACUAUGGAAAAGGCAAUGUUUCUUACCUUAUGCGGCCAAAGCACUAAUGACUCCUGCCCUGACUUCUUUCUGUCAUGGCUACGGUGAAGGCGCGUCACCUCCAGGCUUGAUAUACAGCAGACCUGGCAGUGACAACUGAUGUGCCAUCCUGGUGGAGUUGGACUACUUCCGCCACUUCUACAGGAUGCUGAUGACACACAGCAAGCGUUGCUAUGAACACACAAGUGGAGUGUGGUGAUGUCUAAGAUUUGUCAACAAUACACGUCUCUGAGGAGAGUCACUCAGCGGAUGCUGAUCUUCAAUCAAGAGCAGGACAGGAAGUUGUAUGGUAAAUGGACUGGUUGUUAUAAAGUGCUUUUCUAUUCUAUUUGAGCACUCAAAGGACUUUAUACAGUGAUGCUUGUGAUGUUUAUGAUGUAGUAGAGAGCAAGUUCACAAAAACAGUUCAAUAUUUGUCAAAAAAUGUCCAAUAUUCAUAAUUUUUCAAAAUUUAAUGCAACAUAUUUAUGUGGGCAACAGACAAAACAUUGUGCAAGUUACCAGGAAAGUAUUUGUUUUCUUUUUACUCAGUAAGUAUAAGCCUUUACAGACCAAGUGUGUUACGAAUAUUCAACAUGAGAUUCUGUGUUUAAAUUCUGAAUGUGAAUUUGUCGUGUAAUAUAUAAACACACACCAAGAAACUGAUGUAUAAUCUUUCUAUUCACCAAAUUAUCUUAUACAUGAUCUACUUCUCUGACACACGUUUGCCUUGUAAAAUUGAAUAAAACUAAAUAAUUUUUAAAAAGUCCAGGUUGAUUCACAAUAAAGACAGCAACUUAAUGAUGUAUACAUA